rnacentral:piRNA from 1 species
UCAAGGUUACUGUGAGCUUGAUUGCACCA